CAAAACCAAUAUUUAGAAAAUUAUUUGUUAUGAUGAGGUAAGGUCGUUUCAAAACUUUCGAGAUAUUUUGUUAGUAAAAUAAAAUAGAGUUUGUUUUAUUGAAUUGUUAGGCUUUUAAUAUAUUUUGUGUAUAAUCAUCAACCAAACAUAAACAUAGCUUUAAUUGCUUUGUAUGCACGCAAACAAGCAAAAAAAAUCGUAUAACGAUGGGUAUGUAAAUUACUUGGUAUGCUAGCUAGAGUAUAUGCUGAGUUAUAUUCUAGCUAGUUGGUCUUCACUCUUCACAUAUGUACCAAAGUCCAAAAGGAAAAGGAAAAGGAAAGAGGUUCAUGCAUUGGUUAAAUUUCAAAAAAUUUCAUGCAUCGGGUCCCAUAUGUCUUGAACCAUAAAUAUAAUUGUUGUUGUUUUUAUUUUUUAUUUUUUAUUAUUUUUUUUUUUGUUGUUGUUGUUGUUGCUGUUUACCUUAAAUUUAGUCGUUAAAAAUAUCAAUUGCACUAAGAUAAUGUAUAGUACGGUAACACCACGUCGAAAUUAAUAAAGUACUAAGAAAGAAUUUAGAGUAGAAAAUAUUACACAAUAUUAAAGUCAGUUUUCUAGUUAAUAAUAACACAAUAACAAUAGGACAGUUGUGACUACAGAGACCCUUUCCUCUCCCUUCCAUUAACAAAAUCAAAAGUGAAUUUCCACGGCUGCCCUUCACCACUAUAAGAUAAAUAAUUUGUUCAAUUUUUAAUUUUUUAUGAACACGAACUCUUUUUAAAAAAAAAUAAUUUUAAAUAACAAUAAAUUUGAGAGACUUUAACAAUACCAAAAUAUCACAGAUCUUCGUCGUUUUUGUUCCCCCAAGAGAUAAGAGAUGCAAAAGAGAAGAGGAUGUGUUUCCAAGAUCUCGAAGCUGGCUCUCAAUUUCCGUUUGCCAAUCGUGGGAGAAAGCAGAGACGUCUGUCUCGUUGGGAUCCAUCUCAGGAUGCAGCUGUCGAGAUAACAAAAUCAGCACGGCUCUGAAUUUCUUCUUCCGCGUCGUUAAUUCCAUCCGAACGUCUAAGGAUACUCUUGAUUUGCGAGAAAAAACCGUUAGUGCCACUUCCCCUGUUUUAUUAAAUCUCUGUUAUGUUUUUUCAUUUUGCUAUGAAUUAAAGAAAAAUAUGUAUCUUUUAAUUUUUUUGAAGUUGACCCUGUAGUUUAUGAGUUUCAUCUGUUUGUUAUGGAUAUUGUUACACAUAUCAGAGUUGGUGAAAAAUGUUAGCUAAACGUAAAGAAGCUAGUAAAGCCGAUCUCCAUGGAAAAGCUAGUGUGAUCUGUGUGACUUGAUUGGUAUAAGCUUGCUAGAGGUCCGUAUGGUGAACAACAAUGGCGGAAAAAAAAACGCAACACUGCCAUCAGAUCAUGUUGUGACGUCACUACCACCUUCUAAGCCUCCAUCUCCACCAUAGCAACCUCAUUCACCUCCACCACAGCCUUUCAUGAGCAGCAGCAGCGGGCUCCGACCUAAGAUGUGUAUUAUUGUUAUUCAUAGCCCACCUAAGAUCUGAAUGGGAGGAGUUACGAAGCAGGUGGGGAAAACAUCGUGCUAUUGUAUUUGGUUUUUAUUUGAAACUUGGUCAUGAAACUGGAGAUGUACAAACUGCUUUUCAUUUAUAUAAUCUCCAAUGUAAGUUCGAAUAGUGUACAUGUGGAUGAUGAGACCUAUGUACACUACUCAUUUAUACAAAUCUACAAUGUACAUGAUAAUACUGUACACGUGGAUAUGAAGACCUAUGUACACUAUUCAUUUAUCCAAUCAAUAAUAGAUGCACAAAUCCACAUCGA